GAAUACAAUUACAAUGGGAAUGGAUACUAAAUUCUAGGGCUGGUCCGAAUACCAUUUUUUGAGCUUCGAAGCUUCGGUAGUAAUGAGCAUCG